GUUUAGUUUAAAACCAAAACAGAGACCCAUAAUUUAAUUCUUUGUUCCAUGAAAGUGUUGUCUAAGUUGAGGAAAGGAAAAAAUGUGUGACAUAACAAAAAGUUAAGGAUAUGUUGCUGUUGUCACAACGACCACCAGUUCUUCAUCUCCCUUGCAAUGGUUGGAAAUAUUUUCUACUCUUCAUUUUUUUUUUCUUAUCU
rnacentral:lncRNA from 1 species